rnacentral:lncRNA from 1 species
AACACUUUGUUGGCGUACCUGCUAAUGAGAUACCCACAACCUCUCAUGUCUCCUACAUGAUUGAUGCACAGUGGUGUAAACUUGUUGACAAGUGGUCAACUACACACAACAAGGUAAUUUCUCUUAGUGUGCUUUCAAGUAUGUACUUGUGAUGGAGACUAACACAUACUUCUCUUGCAGGCAGUUCUGAUCAGAACAAAAUAAACUGGGCUAGAGUCAGAU